UGAAGCCCAGCUUGCUGGGUGGAUUAGUGGCGAACGGGUGAGUAACACGUGAGUAACCUGCCCUUAACUCUGGGAUAAGCCUGGGAAACUGGGUCUAAUACCGGAUAGGAGCGCCUACCGCAUGGUGGGUGUUGGAAAGAUUUAUCGGUUUUGGAUGGACUCGCGGCCUAUCAGCUUGUUGGUGAGGUAAUGGCUCACCAAGGCGACGACGGGUAGCCGGCCUGAGAGGGUGACCGGCCACACUGGGACUGAGACACGGCCCAGACUCCUACGGGAGGCAGCAGUGGGGAAUAUUGCACAAUGGGCGCAAGCCUGAUGCAGCGACGCCGCGUGAGGGAUGACGGCCUUCGGGUUGUAAACCUCUUUCAGUAGGGAAGAAGCGAAAGUGACGGUACCUGCAGAAGAAGCACCGGCUAACUACGUGCCAGCAGCCGCGGUAAUACGUAGGGUGCGAGCGUUAUCCGGAAUUAUUGGGCGUAAAGAGCUCGUAGGCGGUUUGUCGCGUCUGUCGUGAAAGUCCGGGGCUUAACCCCGGAUCUGCGGUGGGUACGGGCAGACUAGAGUGCAGUAGGGGAGACUGGAAUUCCUGGUGUAGCGGUGGAAUGCGCAGAUAUCAGGAGGAACACCGAUGGCGAAGGCA
rnacentral:rRNA from 1 species